UCCGGUUUAUCACCGGCGGUCCCGUCUAGAGUGCUGCCCGUACGGGCGAGCAACUAGAGGCAAGGGUUGCGCUCGUUGCGGGACUUAACCCAACAUCUCACGACACGAGCUGACGACAGCCAUGCAGCACCUCUGUAAAUGUCUAUUGCUAGCCGUUUCCAUCUCUGAAAACUUCAUUCACAGUUCAAACCCAGGUAAGGUUCUUCGCGUUGCAUCGAAUUGAACCACAUGCUCCACCGCUUGUGCGGGCCCCCGUCAAUUCCUUUGAGUUUCAGACUUGCGACCGUACUCCCCAGGCGGUGCACUUAUCGCGUUAACUUCGGCACAAACCGAAACCGGCUUACACCAAGUGCACAUUGUUUACGGCUAGGACUAC
rnacentral:misc_RNA from 1 species